AGACCCUAGGGGACAAAGUGUACUCUCAACACUCCUCUGUUUUCUGUUUCUACUGUUAAAACGUGUCCCUUCAGAGGUGAGUGAGAGGACAGAGGUGAUGCCCGAUUGUCCUUUUACAUGGCAGGCAUUUUGAUGCUUCUGCAGGAAAAACACAGGCGUAAUUAAUAAGAAUAGUGAUGCCCCGUGUUUCUCCAUUUUCAUCACAUGCAUCAAAGUGACUGAAGCAGGAAGCUGUUGCUGUAGCUGCACCUGCUGAUUUAGAUACAGCUGCUUAAUUGAACUGGGCAGUAUGAUGUUUUAUGAGCAGAUGUCAUGUAGGAACUACAUUAAGUUGUGUGCUGUACACCCACACAGGUGUUUUCACUCUUUAUGGCUGAUUACACCUAUUUUAGAAUGAGCAAAAAGGAAGUAUCUGCACUUUAUAUACUCAUUUCCGUUUUUAUUUUUAAUCACUUUUAUUUAGUCUCUCUCCGGUCAUGUAUGAAAUUCUAGAAGUCUGAAUAACUGUUUGUGAGGCUGACAUGUCCACAAGGUAACACACAGGGGUAGAAGAUGUACUCAGAUACCGUAUGUAAGUAAAAGCAGCAUUCAUGCAAUGUGGCAGCACUCUGUUAUGAGUAAAAUCCAUGCAUUUUAAUUUGUACUUCUGUAAAAAUAUAUAAGUAGAACAAUGCUUCUCAUAUUAUUGGAGUGAUGCUGGAGCUGGUAAAGGUGGUUUAUGUGGUUCCUCUGCUGUGUCAAUGAUCGACAAAGUUCAACUAUAUUAUUACAUCAUUAUUUAUUCUUUCAUUAUUUUUAUUAUUAAAUAAAAUCGGCAAAGUAACUAAAGGUGUCAGGUAAAUGUAGUGGAGUAAAAAGUACAAUAUUUGCCUCUUAGCUGUAAUGGAGUAGCAAAAAAUAGAAAUAUUUUCGUUGCUCAGGUAACCUGUAACUGAAAAUUAUACUUAGGCACAGUGAUUGAAUAAUUCUAAUUAGUUACUUUUCAAUGCUUAGGCUUUCUGACUUGUCCACCUACAAUAUUAACAUCCAGCUUUGGCCUGCAGCUUAGGAAAAUAAAAAUAAAAUCCAAGCAAACAGCAAGUGAGGCUUUUAUUAUGAAACUGAUUUACGCACAAAGUAUUUUGACAUUGGCUUCAUAAAUAAAGAGCCAGAGCAGUUUCCCAUAGUGUCAGCAGCACACUGCCAUGUUCUAACCCACCUUUCUGUCCACGUGCAGCUUCUCUGGGCUUUCUGUACAGAUAUCUGGGAACAUCUGGCGGCCCGACGGAGCUCGACGCGAUUUUUUUCCUGCAACAUUUAACCAUAAAGAAACUGCGGUUUUAAAUGUGAUCGUUGUCCAGUGGAGGGUCAAGGACAGGCCACGACCCCCAGCUUCCUGCUAUGAGCUCCAACCCCCCCAGAGCCUUCGCCUUUGUCACAACACAGCCUUAUAGCUGCCGGAUACUUCGGUGACACAGACAUGCGAGUGCAGAAAGAGUUGCACGAUCGACGAGUUCUACCUCAAGAUACCCCUAUAAAAUAUUAAGAAAGCAGCAACUUCAGAUGAGGUAAAUAA